rnacentral:lncRNA from 1 species
AUAUUUUCUUCCCCCAAAGGAUGACUUUUCACUCCGUUGGUUGUUUUCCUUGAUGUGCAUAAGCUUUAGUUUGCUGUAGCAUCAGAAAGAAUAACCCAAGGGUUUAUUUCCACUUGAUCAUGUUGUAUGAUUCUUUAAAUUUUCUGUUGAAUUCAGUUUGCUAAUAUUGUGUUGAGAAUUUUGCAUCUAUAUUCACCAGGGAUAUUGGUCUGUAGUUUUCUUUCUUGUAGUGUCCUUAUCUGGCUUUGGUAUCAGGGUAAUGCUGACCUCAUAAAAUGAGUUUUGGAGUGCUUCCUCCUCUUCAAUUUUUUGGAAGAGUUUGAGAAGGAUUGGCAUUAAUUCUUUAAAUUUUUGGUAGAAUUCAUCAAUGAAACCAUCUGGUUCUUGUCUUUUCUUCAUUGGGAGGUUUUGAUUGCUGACUCAAUCUCUUUCCUCUUUAUUGAUUUGUUUUGAUUUUCUAUUUCUUCAUAAUUCAGCCUUGGUACGUUGUAUGUUUCUAGUAAGUUAACCAUUUCUUCUAGGUUUUCCAAUUUGUUGGUAUAUGAUUGUUCCUAGUAGUCUCUUAUGAUCCUUUAUAUUUCUGUAGUGGUAGUUGUAAUGUCUCCUUUUUUAUUCCUGAUUUUAGUUUUUGAGUUUUCUCUCUCUCUCUCUCUUUUUCAAAUCUAACUAAGGGUUUGGCAAUUUUGUUUAUCUUUUGGAAGAACCAGCUUAUAGUUUCAUUGGUCUUUGCUGUUGUUUUUCUGGUUUAUAUCUCAUUUAUUUCUGCUCUGAUCUUUGCUAUUUCGUUCCUUGUGCUAACUUUGGGUUUAGUUUUUUCCUUUUCUUCUUUCCUGAGGUGUAAAGUUAGGUUUUUUACUUGAGAUCUUUCUUUUUUUUUUUUUAAUAUAGGUGUUUAUCACUAUAAACUUAACCCUUAGAAUUGCUUUUGCAGCAUCCCAUAGGUUUUAGUAUGUUGUGUUUCCAUUUUGUUUGUUUCAAGAUAUUUACUGAAUUUCCCUUUUGAUUCAUUCUUUGACCCAUUGGUUUUUCAUGAAUGUGUUAAUUUCCACAUAUUUUUGAAUUUUCCAGCUUUCCUUCUGUUAUUGAUUUCUAGUUUCAUACCAUGUGGUCAUAAAACAUACUUGAUAUGAUUUCAAUCUUUCUAAAUUUGCUAAGAAUUUUUUUGUGGCCUAUCUUAUGAUCUGUCCUGGACAAUGUUCAUGUGCACUUAAGAAGAUGCGUAUUCUGCUGCUUUUGGAUAGAAUGUUCUGUAUAUGUCUGUUAGGUCCAUUUGGUCUAAAGUAUGGUUCAAGUAUGAUGUUUCUUUGUUGAUUUUGUGACUGGGUGAUCUAUCCAUUAUUGAAAGUGGGG